AGGAACUGACAGAAGGGCACCACCAGGAAUGCAGCCUGUGGAUAAUUUGACUCAACACGGGAAAGCUCACCUGGCUGGACACAGGCAGGAUUGGCAGAUUGAGAGCUCUUUCUCGAUUCCGUGGGUGGUUGUGCAUGGCCGUUCUUAGUUGGAGCAGCGAUACGUUAGCUUCCAUAUUCAGCACUAGGACUCUAGCAACCACAGACAUGGUUAAAAUUUCUCUUUUUCUCCCAGAUUUACCCUUUGGCCUAAGGAACGGUACACUGGGCCAAGGUCCAGGAACCCAGCUUCAUACAUGAUUAAUGUAUGACUUUUUACACUUCAUUGUUACUGAGCCCUUUUCUCAGCACA
rnacentral:ncRNA from 1 species